UACGUAGGUCCCGAGCGUUGUCCGGAUUUAUUGGGCGUAAAGCGAGCGCAGGUGGUUUAUUAAGUCUGGUGUAAAAGGCAGUGGCUCAACCAUUGUAUGCAUUGGAAACUGGUAGACUUGAGUGCGGGAGAGGAGAGUGGAAUUCCAUGUGUAGCGGUGAAAUGCAUAGAUAUCACGCAGAACUCCGAUUGCGAAGGCAGCGUACCGGCAUUCAACUGACGCUGAGGCACGAAAGCGUGGGGAUCAAACAGG
rnacentral:rRNA from 1 species